rnacentral:rRNA from 1 species
AUUGAACGCUGGCGGCAGGCCUAACACAUGCAAGUCGAGCGGAUGAGAGGAGCUUGCUUCUCGAUUCAGCGGCGGACGGGUGAGUAAUGCCUAGGAAUCUGCCUGAUAGUGGGGGACAACGUUUCGAAAGGAACGCUAAUACCGCAUACGUCCUACGGGAGAAAGCAGGGGACCUUCGGGCCUUGCGCUAUCAGAUGAGCCUAGGUCGGAUUAGCUAGUUGGUGAGGUAAUGGCUCACCAAGGCGACGAUCCGUAACUGGUCUGAGAGGAUGAUCAGUCACACUGGAACUGAGACACGGUCCAGACUCCUACGGGAGGCAGCAGUGGGGAAUAUUGGACAAUGGGCGAAAGCCUGAUCCAGCCAUGCCGCGUGUGUGAAGAAGGUCUUCGGAUUGUAAAGCACUUUAAGUUGGGAGGAAGGGUUGUAGAUUAAUACUCUGCAAUUUUGACGUUACCGACAGAAUAAGCACCGGCUAACUCUGUGCCAGCAGCCGCCGCCGUA